CUAAACCUUUGAAAUUCGUCGGACUAAAAGUAUUUGUAUACAUUUGGCACGUUGUGAUUGUGAUGAUCAAACUUGAGAAACAGAAAUCCGACCGUCAGAUCUGACCAUCAUGAUAAAAUACAUGUAUGGGAAAAAAUUCAACUUGAUCCGAAAAGAAUAAGGGCUCGAUCCGGACGGUCAAUCUCGUAAGUCAAACCCCUAAACGCACGGAAAAGGUCGUUCGACCGUCUAAAUUACGUAUUUUGGCCGGACCUCCAACUGAAAAUAGUUUUAAACCGAUGACACGCAACAAGUCGUAUAAAAAUUUUACGCAAAAUAACCACCGAAUAUAGGGCUACACAUAGAUGGAAAAAAUGAAAAAUUGCAUUGACCGCAACUAUCGGCACCGAAUAUUUACCGGAAUAGUGUGAUUUUUCAACCGUGGAUGUAUUUCAACAUUCUCGUCAUAUCUUAUUUCAUGACUUUUUGCCGUUUGAAGGUUUUACGUAUAGUUUGUUUUUAAAACGGAACAUUUACAUAACACUAGGUAAACAAGUUAUACAACAUUAGUAUGCCUGUUGUGAUUGUGAUGAUCAAAUUUGAGAAACAGUCAUCCGACCGUCAGAUCUGACCAUCAUGAUAAAAUACAUGUAUGGGAAAAAAUUCAACUUGAUCCGAAAAGAAUAAGGGCUCGAUCCGGACGGUCAAUCUCGUAAGUCAAUCCCCUAAACGCACGGAAAAGGUCGUUCGACCGUCUAAAUUACGUAUUUUGGCCGGACCUCCAACUGAAAAUAGUUUUAAACCGAUGACACGCAACAAGUCGUAUAAAAAUUUUACGCAAAAUAACCACUGAAUAGAGGACUAUAGUAGGUAAUAGAAAAAUUUAAGGGUUUAGCCGACGAAUACCCUAACGUAUUCGUCGGCUAUAGUAUGUAAUUAAAAAUUAAAAAUAACUUUAGCCGACGAAAUAUUAGGUUAUUCGUCGGCUAAAGUAUUUUAGCCGACGAAUUAUAGUGUAUUUCGUCGGCUAUAGUAUGUAAUUAAAAAUUAAAAAAUUAAAAAGUAAAAAUAACUAUAGCCGACGAAAUAUUAGGUUAUUCGUCGGCUUAAGUAUUUUAGCCGACGAAUUAUAGUGUGAUUCGUCGGCUAUAGUAUGUAAUUAAAAAUUAAAAAAUUAAAAAUUAAAAAUAACUUUAGCCGACGAAAUAUAGUAUAUUUCGUCGGCUAAUAUGGGUUUAGCCGACGAAAUAUGGUGUAUUUCGUCGGCUAAAUGAAAAAAUACAUUAAAAAAACAGACGAUAUUAGUAAACCAUACUUAAAUUUCCUGUUCAUCAUGUAUCACCAAAAUUCAUAUAAAAUAACUGAAAUAUGAAUUCAACAUGUGUAAACUAUAAAGGAAAAGGUCUUUAAUUAGUUAUACAAUGCAAAUUAAUGGAUUUCGUCCUCUAAAUUAAAACUAAGGCUCGUAAUCGGAAUCAUCCGAUGAGUCUUCUUCGGUGUCAGAAUUAAUUUCUGGUAAUAUAUGUCUUUCCUCAUCGCCAGAGUCUUCGUCUGUUUCGUGAUUUGGAUCAACAUCAAUAAGCCUUGGCUCUUCAUCACGAAUU
rnacentral:lncRNA from 1 species